CUAUUGGUUCAGGGAGCCCGUCAGACCGGACUGGAGUGAGCCAUGAUUGGUCGACACAGGCGCAAUCAGGUUAGGUUGCUUACUCCUCCGCUCCUCCCUCCUUUUCCUCCACGCCCCAUCUCCCCCACCCCCUACUGCUUUUACUUUCUACGCAUUUCUAUUUCCUCCUUUAUUUAUUUAUUUGUGAUAAACUUAAAUGACCCGGCGACGGAGGCGGUACUCUAGGAGAAGGCUGAGGAUGACGAGCGGCGGCCUGGGGCCAAUUGCCGAGAGGGCUGCGGGGUGAGGGGCAGCGGCGGUGGCCAGUGAGAGGCAGGUGUCUGGAGCGCGCUGGGCCUGUGGAGCCGGGAUGCCCCAGCGGAGGCGGCGGUUACCCGCUGUCUGGCGCGGCGAGCUGCGCCGGGGGAGCCGCGGGAGCGGAGAGGGGGGUGUCGCUGUCUUGGACAGCUGAGGCAGCGGGAUGGAGGCUGGAUCCCGGGCGGUGGGUGGGAAAGCCGGAGGGAGGGUCUGGCUGGCGGCAGCGCGCAAGGCCGCACCGGGUCACGCUUGAUUCCCGCGGAAUGGGGCGCAGGUUGCCAGACCGGGUCCCCAGUGCUAGGGCUCAAGGAAGAAUUUGUUCAUGCAGAAGAUUUAGAAAAAUACUAUGUAAAAGAGUUUGGAGUAAGCCUCCCUUAAUAUAAAUGAGAUUUAUUAUCCUGCCGGAAAAAGCAGAUUAUGUUUCUUAUUACUGAACGCCUGAAGUACCAACGACUCAACCAGAGCCCACAGAAUUCAAUAUCCUGGGUGGUAAAAGGAACAAAUAAAGCAACACGGAA
rnacentral:lncRNA from 10 species